UAGGGAAUCUUCCACAAUGGACGCAAGUCUGAUGGAGCAACGCCGCGUGAGUGAAGAAGGUUUUCGGAUCGUAAAGCUCUGUUGUUGGUGAAGAAGGAUAGAGGUAGUAACUGGCCUUUAUUUGACGGUAAUCAACCAGAAAGUCACGGCUAACUACGUGCCAGCAGCCGCGGUAAUACGUAGGUGGCAAGCGUUGUCCGGAUUUAUUGGGCGUAAAGCGAGCGCAGGCGGAAGAAUAAGUCUGAUGUGAAAGCCCUCGGCUUAACCGAGGAACUGCAUCGGAAACUGUUUUUCUGGAGUGCAGAAGAGGAGAGUGGAAUUCCAUGUGUAGCGGUGGAAUGCGUAGAUAUAUGGAAGAACACCAGUGGCGAAGGCGACUCUCUGGUCUGCAACUGACGCUGAGGCUCGAAAGCAUGGGUAGCGAACAGG
rnacentral:rRNA from 1 species